AACAAACGCUGGCGGCGUGCCUAACACAUGCAAGUCGUACGAGAAAGUCGGCUUCGGCCGGUGAGUAAAGUGGCGCACGGGUGAGUAACGCGUGGAUAAUCUGCCCUUAAGUGUGGAAUAACGUACCGAAAGGUGCGCUAAUACCGCAUAAUGCCUGGCAACACAAGUUGUCCGGCCAAAGAAGGCCUCUGUUUACAAGCUUUCGCUUCAGGAUGAGUCCGCGUACCAUUAGCUUGUUGGUGGGGUAAUGGCCUACCAAGGCUGCGAUGGUUAGCUGGUCUGAGAGGAUGAUCAGCCACACUGGAACUGAGACACGGUCCAGACUCCUACGGGAGGCAGCAGUGAGGAAUAUUGCGCAAUGGGGGCAACCCUGACGCAGCAACGCCGCGUGAGUGAGGAAGGUUUUCGGACUGUAAAGCUCUGUCGAGCGGGAAGAAGUGUACCAUGGCUAAUAUCCAUGAUAUUUGACGGUACCGCUAGAGG
rnacentral:rRNA from 1 species